rnacentral:rRNA from 1 species
AACGAACGCUGGCGGCGUGGAUAAGACAUGCAAGUCGAACGAGAGAAUUGCUAGCUUGCUAAUAAUUCUCUAGUGGCGCACGGGUGAGUAACACGUGAGUAACCUGCCCCCGAGAGCGGGAUAGCCCUGGGAAACUGGGGUUAAUACCGCAUAGUAUCGAAAGAUUAAAGCAGCAAUGCGCUUGGGGAUGGGCUCGCGGCCUAUUAGUUAGUUGGUGAGGUAACGGCUCACCAAGGCGAUGACGGGUAGCCGGUCUGAGAGGAUGUCCGGCCACACUGGAACUGAGACACGGUCCAGACACCUACGGGUGGCAGCAGUCGAGAAUCAUUCACAAUGGGGGAAACCCUGAUGGUGCGACGCCGCGUGGGGGAAUGAAGGUCUUCGGAUUGUAAACCCCUGUCAUGUGGGAGCAAAUUAAAAAGAUAGUACCACAAGAGGAAGAGACGGCUAACUUUGUGCCAGCAGCCGCGGUAAUACAGAGGUCUCAAGCGUUGUUCGGAAUCACUGGGCGUAAAGCGUGCGUAGGCUGUUUCGUAAGUCGUGUGUGAAAGGCGCGGGCUCAACCCGCGGACGGCACAUGAUACUGCGAGACUAGAGUAAUGGAGGGGGAACCGGAAUUCUCGGUGUAGCAGUGAAAUGCGUAGAUAUCGAGAGGAACACUCGUGGCGAAGGCGGGUUCCUGGACAUUAACUGACGCUGAGGCACGAAGGCCAGGGGAGCGAAAAAGAUUAGAUACCCCUGUAGUCCUGGCAGUAAACGGUGCACGCUUGGUGUGCGGGGAAUCGACCCCCUGCGUGCCGGAGCUAACGCGUUAAGCGUGCCGCCUGGGGAGUACGGUCGCAAGAUUAAAACUCAAAGAAAUUGACGGGGACCCGCACAAGCGGUGGAGUAUGUGGCUUAAUUCGAUGCAACGCGAAGAACCUUACCUGGGCUUGACAUGUAAUGAACAACAUGUAAAAGCAUGCGACUCUUCGGAGGCGUUACACAGGUGGUGCAUGGCCGUCGUCAGCUCGUGUCGUGAGAUGUUUGGUUAAGUCCAGCAACGAGCGCAACCCCUGUUGCCAGUUACCAGCACGUGAAGGUGGGGACUCUGGCGAGACUGCCCAGAUCAACUGGGAGGAAGGUGGGGAGGACGUCAGGUCAGUAUGGCCCUUAUGCCCAGGGCUGCACACGUACUACAAUGCCCAGUACAGAGGGGGCCGAAGCCGCGAGGCGGAGGAAAUCCUGAAAACUGGGCCCAGUUCGGACUGUAGGCUGCAACCCGCCUACACGAAGCCGGAAUCGCUAGUAAUGGCGCAUCAGCUACGGCGCCGUGAAUAAGAUCCCGGGUCUUGCACA